AUAAAGUGAAACAGCCCACUGAGGAAAAGUGUUAAAAUGAAGCCUUGUGCCGCAGCCAAAGGCUAAAAGUUUCCCUGGUUAUGCACGGCGCCUUAUCCGGAACACUGCGGCCAUUCUGGGGAAUUUAGUUGAAAAUUGAUGUUGUGUUGCCUCGGAGGCGGGCGUAGAGGUUCAACUUGAAGGAAAGGUCAGCGGCGUUCUUCCAGUAGGACACAAGACAGAUGAAAAGGCCAUGAGAAUUUGGCCUUUUUGCCGAUGAAAGUCGGCGUUGCGGGAUGAGCGCGAACAUCUUGACGGAGCGACAGCUGCCGAGAAGAAAGCAGCAGCAUGUGAAGAGCUUGCAAUCCACCCCUCCCGCCCACGUGCGACUUCCCACAGCCCCCCCCAUCCUCCGCUCGGGACACGAGGCCGGAGAGAUGGCAGCGAGUGGCAUUUCUCCAUCUCUGUUCAAGCCAGCUGCCGACAUGACGCCGGGGGUCUCGCCGUAAUUGCUGGCGAGAUUGACAGCUUGCGGGGAGGAGAAAAAGGAAGUUGCGUCGCGUGGGUGUGGUGGGUGGCCGCAGAGAGAGACAGAGAGAAAAAGACACCUCAAAUCCGUCCCGAGUGGCCGCUAAUGAAUGGAAGUCACGGAGCAGCCCGCUUCUCUCGAGGCCUCCAGGAGCGGCGGCCGUCUUAUCGCGGCAGCUGGCGGUGAAGAAAAUAAGCCACUUGUUGGUUUUCCUGGCUGUGUGCUUCUGGUCAUUGUCACGUCGAAAGAUCCAGCCACGACCCAUCUUCAAUGAUCUGCCUGAAGGAAAGAGUUUGUUCCCCAAAAAUCUCACAAUACAUGGCCGCAGUCAUUCUCUCCUUCAUACAGUGCAGUCGUCCUGUCCCAUGUGCAGAAAAAAACACCCGCAAAGCAUGAUCCUACCACGCCCGUGCUUCACAGUAGGGAUGGUGUUCUUGAGAUGGAAAUCAUCAUUCGUCUGCCUCCAAACACGGUGCAUCACGGACUUUCCAUUAACGCCAAGCAAGGUGUACCUGCGGGUGCCAAUGCCAACGACGCACGCCCGCGUCCGCACGCUGCGGUUUUGCGAUGUCCGAGGCAGGUUGCCGUGAAAUUGGAUGAGCGCAUUCACGCUCCCACACAGCUGAGGAUCUUGAUGAAGGCCCGGCGGAACUCCACGUUGAAGGUGGUGUAUAUGACGGGGUUGAGGGCGCUGUUGACGUAGCCCAGCCAGGUGAAGGCGCUGUAGAGGCCCGGGGGGACCGCGCACGUACCGCAGUGCGUGUUCAGGAUGUGCGUGACGAAGAAGGGCAGCCAGCAGAUGAGGAACACCCCUGAAAAGGUGACAGGUCGUGGUUGCUCUUGGCCGUGCCAUCCUGAAGACACGUCUCCUGGAUAAAGACGUGUUAUGAAAUCAUCUGGAUGAAGUUUUGCAGGAAGACGUAAAUGCGGAUGUAGACCAGUAAAGUGACCAUGAAGGGCAAGUAGAAGGACACCACCGACGAGUACACCACAAAGUCCGGGUUGGAGAUGGAGCACACCAUGGGGUCGUCUGGAGGAAAUGGGAAGACUUGGCACAGUGUACAGAAUCGUUCGAAUAAACAAGACCAGAGGGAAUACAAACAAAAGAGGAAGCGUCAACUCACUGCGGCUCGGCGUGUUCUUGAAGUUCGGCGUUGAGGGUCUCGGGGAGCAGCAGACAGAGGCCCACGGCACUCGCAGGUAUUCCGAAGAAAAAAAAUGACCUUUGGGCACGGCGAUGACGGCGAGGCAGGAGGCCCCUCCGAACAUUAACAAGACGGCCUCACUCCGCCGCCUGCCGAAACGCCCGAUGAGCGGCAGAGAACUCAGACGGGCGGGAACCUCCACCAGGCCGAAGAUGAACUGUGUCAGGUUCGCCAACUCACCUCGGCUGGGCGUGUUCCUGAAGUUCGACGUUGAGGGUCUCGGGGAGCAGCAGGCAGAAGCCCACGGCACUGGCAG